AGAGUUUGAUCAUGGCUCAGGAUGAACGCUGGCGGCGUGCUUAACACAUGCAAGUCGAACGAACCUUCGGGUUAGUGGCGGACGGGUGAGUAACGCGUGAGAAUCUGCCCUCAGGAGGGGGACAACAGCUGGAAACGGCUGCUAAUACCCCAUAUGCCGCGAGGUGAAAUGAAUUUCGCCUGAGGAUGAGCUCGCGUCUGAUUAGCUAGUUGGUGUAGGUAAUGGCUCACCAAGGCAUCGAUCAGUAGCUGGUCUGAGAGGAUGAUCAGCCACACUGGGACUGAGACACGGCCCAGACUCCUACGGGAGGCAGCAGUGGGGAAUUUUCCGCAAUGGGCGAAAGCCUGACGGAGCAACGCCGCGUGAGGGAUGAAGGCCUCUGGGCUGUAAACCUCUUUUAUCAAGGAAGAAGAUCUGACGGUACUUGAUGAAUAAGCCACGGCUAAUUCCGUGCCAGCAGCCGCGGUAAUACGGGAGUGGCAAGCGUUAUCCGGAAUUAUUGGGCGUAAAGCGUCCGCAGGCGGCCCUUCAAGUCUGCUGUUAAAAAGUGGAGCUUAACUCCAUCAUGGCAGUGGAAACUGUUGGGCUUGAGUGUGGUAGGGGCAGAGGGAAUUCCCGGUGUAGCGGUGAAAUGCGUAGAUAUCGGGAAGAACACCAGUGGCGAAGGCGCUCUGCUGGGCCAUCACUGACGCUCAUGGACGAAAGCCAGGGGAGCGAAAGGGAUUAGAUACCCCUGUAGUCCUGGCCGUAAACGAUGAACACUAGGUGUCGGGGGAAUCGACCCCCUCGGUGUCGUAGCCAACGCGUUAAGUGUUCCGCCUGGGGAGUACGCACGCAAGUGUGAAACUCAAAGGAAUUGACGGGGGCCCGCACAAGAGGUGGAGUAUGUGGUUUAAUUCGAUGCAACGCGAAGAACCUUACCAGGGUUUGACAUCCUGCGAAUCUCUUGGAAACAGGAGAGUGCCUUCGGGAACGCAGUGACAGGUGGUGCAUGGCUGUCGUCAGCUCGUGUCGUGAGAUGUUGGGUUAAGUCCCGCAACGAGCGCAACCCACGUCUUUAGUUGCCAGCAUUCAGUUGGGCACUCUAGAGAGACUGCCGGUGAUAAACCGGAGGAAGGUGUGGAUGACGUCAAGCCAUCAUGCCCCUUACAUCCUGGGCUACACACGUACUACAAUGCUACGGACAAAGGGCAGCAAGUUCGCGAGGACAAGCAAAUCCCAUAAACCGUGGCUCAGUUCAGAUCGUAGGCUGCAACUCGCCUACGUGAAGGCGGAAUCGCUAGUAAUCGCAGGUCAGCAUACUGCGGUGAAUACGUUCCCGGGCCUUGUAGACACCGCCC
rnacentral:rRNA from 1 species